rnacentral:rRNA from 1 species
UACGGGGGGGGUAAGCGUUGUUCGGAAUUACUGGGCGUAAAGGGCUCGUAGGCGGUUUGUCGCGUCGGGAGUGAAAUCCACUGGCUUAACUGGUGGCUUGCUUUCGAUACGGGCAGACUGGAGGUAUGCAGGGGAGAACGGAAUUCCUGGUGUAGCGGUGAAAUGCGUAGAUAUCUGGAGGAAUACCGGUGGCGAAGGCGGCAUCCUGGACCGACAUUGACGCUGAGGAGCGAAAGCUAGGGGAGCAAACGGGG